AGCUUUGCGCGGUGGCAGUAUCGUAGCCAAUGAGGUUUAUCCGAGGCACGAUUAUUGCAAAUUAAGAAGAUACAUUUCUCUAAGGAAAUAUUAAUUAUCAGCAUCAUCCAAAAAUAGCACUUUUGAAACACCUAUCUGU
rnacentral:snRNA from 1 species